rnacentral:rRNA from 1 species
UUCAGCAGAAUUAAACCUAGUUAGUAUUUGGAUGAGAGACUAUCUGAGAAUUCCAGGGCUUUGCUGAAA